AAGAAAGAGGCAAUUUGGAUUUGCAGUUGGCUUGAAACCAAUUUGGUGGGGGUUCGAUUCCUC
rnacentral:tRNA from 1 species